UACAGAGGUGGCAAGCGUUGUUCGGAAUUACUGGGCGUAAAGGGCGCGUAGGCGGUUCGAUAAGUCCCGUGUGAAAUCCCUCGGCUCAACUGAGGAACUGCACGGGAAACUGACGGGCUUGAGUUCGGGAGAGGGAAGCGGAAUUCCAGGUGUAGCGGUGAAAUGCGUAGAUAUCUGGAAGAACACCAGUGGCGAAGGCGCUCUACUGGGCCAUUACUGACACUGAGGGACGAAAGCUAGGGGAGCGAAAGGG
rnacentral:rRNA from 1 species